GGCUGAGUGGCUCAGUUGGUUGAGUGUCUGACUUCAGCUCAGGUCACGAUCUCACGGUCUGUGGGUUUGAGCCCUGCGUCAGCCU
rnacentral:tRNA from 1 species